GCAUCUGUAGUGCAAUGGGUAAGCACUGCAGACCGGAUAUCCGUAGGUACGGGUUCGAUUCCCGCCUAAGGCU
rnacentral:tRNA from 1 species